AUUGAACGCUGGCGGCAUGCCUUACACAUGCAAGUCGAACGGUAACGCGGGGCAACCUGGCGACGAGUGGCGAACGGGUGAGUAAUGCAUCGGAACGUGCCCAGUAGUGGGGGACAGCCCGGCGAAAGCCGGAUUAAUACCGCAUACGACCUAUGGGUGAAAGCGGGGGACCGCAAGGCCUCGCGCUAUUGGAGCGGCCGAUGUCAGAUUAGCUAGUUGGUGGGGUAAAGGCCUACUAAGGCGACGAUCUGUAGCUGGUCUGAGAGGACGACCAGCCACACUGGGACUGAGACACGGCCCAGACUCCUACGGGAGGCAGCAGUGGGGAAUUUUGGACAAUGGGGGCAACCCUGAUCCAGCCAUGCCGCGUGCGGGAAGAAGGCCUUCGGGUUGUAAACCGCUUUUGUCGGGGAAGAAACGGUCUGCGCUAAUACCGCGGACUAAUGACGGUACCCGAAGAAUAAGCACCGGCUAACUACGUGCCAGCAGCCGCCGUAAUAC
rnacentral:rRNA from 1 species